rnacentral:rRNA from 1 species
GAAGAGAUUUGGAAGUGCUCGCAAGAGAACUGGAACACAGGUGCUGCAUGGCUGUCGUCAGCUCGUGUCGUGAGAUGUUGGGUUAAGUCCCGCAACGAGCGCAACCCUUGUCAUUAGUUGCUACGAAAGGGCACUCUAAUGAGACUGCCGGUGACAAACCGGAGGAAGGUGGGGAUGACGUCAAGUCCUCAUGGCCCUUAUGGGUAGGGCUUCACACGUCAUACAAUGGUCGGGACAGAGGGUCGCCAACCCGCGAGGGGGAGCCAAUCCCAGAAACCCGAUCGUAGUCCGGAUCGCAGUCUGCAACUCGACUGCGUGAAGUCGGAAUCGCUAGUAAUCGCGGAUCAGCAUGUCGCGGUGAAUACGUUCCCGGGUCUUGUACACACCG